rnacentral:rRNA from 1 species
UACGUAGGGGGUAAGCGUUGUCCGGAUUUAUUGGGCGUAAAGCGCUCGCAGGUGGUUCAUUGCGUCGUGCGUGAAAGACCCCGGCUCAACUGGGGAGGGUCGUGCGAAACGGGUGAACUAGAGGCCAGUAGGGGGAUGUGGAAUUCCGGGUGUAGUGGUGGAAUGCGUAGAGAUCCGGAGGAACACCAGCGGCGAAGGCGGCAUCCUGGACUGGUCCUGACACUCAGGAGCGAAAGCGUGGGGAGCGAGUCCGG